rnacentral:rRNA from 1 species
CCUACGGGAGGCAGCAGUGGGGAAUAUUGGACCAUGGGCGCAAACCUGAUCCAACCCUUCCGGGUUGGUGAAGAAAGCUUUCGGGUUGUAAAACCCCUUUAUUGUGAAAGAAAAGCUUCUGGAUUAAUCCUUGGCAUUUUGACGGUACCCAACGAAUAAACCCCGGCUAACUUCUUUCCAGCAACCCCGGUAAUUCCAAGGGUGCCAACGUUUCUUGGAAUUUCUGGGCGUAAAACCUCCGUAAGUGGUUGUUUAAAUUUGUAGGGAAAACCCUGGGCUUCACCUUGGAACUUCCGUGGAAACUGGACAACUUAAAUUUGGUAGAAGGUAUGCGGAAUUCUCGGGGUAACAGUUAAAUUCGUUAAAUUUGGGAGGAACCUCCAUGGCGAAGGCAGCCCCCUGGACCUACUCUUACCCUGAGGCUCGAAAGCGUGGGGAACCAACCGGAUUAAAUUCCCUGGUUGUUCCCCCCCUUAAACGAUUCUCAUCUGGAUGUUGGGUUCCCUUUAGCACUCAGUAUCGCAGCUAACCGCAU